GAUGAACGCUGGCGGCGUGCCUAAUACAUGCAAGUCGAGCGAACAGACGAGGAGCUUGCUCCUCUGACGUUAGCGGCGGACGGGUGAGUAACACGUGGAUAACCUACCUAUAAGACUGGGAUAACUUCGGGAAACCGGAGCUAAUACCGGAUAAUAUAUUGAACCGCAUGGUUCAAUAGUGAAAGACGGUUUUGCUGUCACUUAUAGAUGGAUCCGCGCCGCAUUAGCUAGUUGGUAAGGUAACGGCUUACCAAGGCGACGAUGCGUAGCCGACCUGAGAGGGUGAUCGGCCACACUGGAACUGAGACACGGUCCAGACUCCUACGGGAGGCAGCAGUAGGGAAUCUUCCGCAAUGGGCGAAAGCCUGACGGAGCAACGCCGCGUGAGUGAUGAAGGUCUUCGGAUCGUAAAACUCUGUUAUUAGGGAAGAGCAAAUGUGUAAGUAACUAUGCACGUCUUGACGGUACCUAAUCAGAAAGCCACGGCUAACUACGAG
rnacentral:rRNA from 1 species